rnacentral:rRNA from 1 species
UACGGAGGGUGCUAGCGUUGCUCGGAAUCACUGGGCGUAAAGGGCGUGUAGGCGGCUUCGUGUGUCUGACGUGAAAGCCCCGGGCUCAACCCGGGAAGUGCGUUGGAAACUGCGAAGCUAGAGUCCCGGAGAGGAAGGUGGAAUUCCAGGUGUAGCGGUGAAAUGCGUAGAUAUCUGGAAGAACACCGGUGGCGAAGGCGGCCUUCUGGACGGUGACUGACGCUGAGACGCGAAAGCGUGGGGAGCAAACAGG